AAUAAAGCUUUGAAGAGAAAGAGUAAAGUUAAUAGCGUUUUACAGAGAGUUCCCGGAAGGUGAGAGGGGCAAAACAAGUUGAUUUGAAUACAUCUCUGAGCAGCACUCCGAAAGAUAACAACCAGUAGGCAGAUGUCGUAUUCGCACACGUUAUAGUGCUAGGGUAUAACCAAGAUAUAAUUAUAUUGGCGUACCUGAAGAGGUUAUUAUUGUGAGAUAAUGAUAAAUUAAGGUGGUAACACGUAAGUAAUGCUUUCGUCCUUUUA
rnacentral:ncRNA from 1 species